UACGUAGGUGGCAAGCGUUGUCCGGAAUUAUUGGGCGUAAAGCGCGCGCAGGCGGUCCUUUAAGUCUGAUGUGAAAGCCCACGGCUCAACCGUGGAGGGUCAUUGGAAACUGACAGACUAGAGUGCAGCAGAGGAUAGCGGAAUUCCCGGUGUAGUGGUGAAAUGCGUAGAUAUCGGGAGGAACACCAGUGGCGAAGGCGGCUAUCUGGGCUGCAACUGACGCUGAGGCGCGAAGGCUAGGGUAGCAAACAGG
rnacentral:rRNA from 1 species